rnacentral:rRNA from 1 species
AUUGAACGCUAGCGGAAUGCUUUACACAUGCAAGUCGAGCGGCAGCGCGGGGCAACCUGGCGGCGAGCGGCGAACGGGUGAGUAAUACAUCGGAACGUACCCAGUCGUGGGGGAUAGCGCGGCGAAAGCCGGAUUAAUACCGUAUACGACCUGAGGGUGAAAGGGGGGGAUCGCAAGACCUCUCGCAGUUGGAGCGGCCGAUGGCGGAUUAGCUAGUUGGUAGGGUAAAGGCCUACCAAGGCGACUAGCCGUAGCGGGUCUGAGAGGACGAACCGCCACACUGGAACUGAGACACGGGCCAGACUCCUACGGGAGGCAGCAGUGGGGAAUUUUGGACAAUGGGGGCAACCCUGAUCCAGCCAUUCCGCGUGAGUGAAGAAGGCCUUCGGGUUGUAAAGCUCUUUCGGCAGGAACGAAACGGUCCUUUCUAAUAAAGAGGGCUAAUGACGGUACCUGAAGAAGAAGCACCGGCUAACUACGUGCCAGCCGCCGCAGUAACAC